rnacentral:lncRNA from 1 species
AUUUCUUCCAAAAGGUUGUUAAAAAACAAUAUCUUGCCUCCUGCAGCUCAAAAAAUCUUGUUCUGUGCCUCAGAAGCAUAGCAAAACUUGAGAGUAAUUAAGUUCUGUCAUCCUGUCCCCCCUCCCCUCUCCUGAUUUUAAUUGAUGGUAUUUUAAAACUAAACUCCAGUGGAGUGAACUGUGUCAGCUGCUGAUGCAUUGAAGAGCAGUUUGGCUAGUAUGCAGAUUACCUCCACCGCAUUAAGCUCCCUUACCAGUGCCAAGUAUAACAUUAGAAAAUUCCGCUGUGUGAAGAGACUGGGAUUCCUGACUUGCCCUGACUGGGAGCUGAAGGCCAGGUGUUUUGAGCAGCUAUCCAGUUAACAGUAGAAAUGGAUUAUCUUGGAGUAAUUAUCUGGCAAAAUGAGUACCUGUGCAUUUCAAAGAAGAAAACUGCUGCAGAUUUCAUUGAGUUUUACUUCCUUGCUGUACCAUGGACCUCCUCUGCAACCUCUGUCCAUGCAGCUAUGCCAAAUCUGGUCUGGAAAAUGAAGAUCAAGCUACAGUAUUGUCUAAAGGAAUCAUAA